rnacentral:rRNA from 1 species
UACGAGGGGGGCGAGCGUUGUUCGGAAUCACUGGGCGUAAAGAGUGCGUAGGCGGUUAUGAAAGUUAGGAGUGAAAUCCCCGGGCUUAACUUGGGAAUUGCUCUUAAUACUCCAUGACUCGAAUUCGGGAGAGGAUAGCGGAAUUGUCAGUGUAGCAGUGAAAUGCGUAGAUAUUGACAGGAACACCGGUGGCGUAAGCAGCUAUCUGGGCCGACAUUGACGCUGAGGCACGAAAGCGUGGGGAUCAAACAGG